rnacentral:rRNA from 1 species
GACGAACGCUGGCGGCGUGCUUAACACAUGCAAGUCGUACGGUAAGGCCCUUUCGGGGGUACACGAGUGGCGAACGGGUGAGUAACACGUGAGUAACCUGCCCACAACUUUGGGAUAACGCUAGGAAACUGGUGCUAAUACUGGAUAUGUGCUCCUGCUGCAUGGUGGGGGUUGGAAAGCUCCGGCGGUUGUGGAUGGACUCGCGGCCUAUCAGCUUGUUGGUGGGGUAGUGGCCUACCAAGGCGGCGACGGGUAGCCGGCCUGAGAGGGUGACCGGCCACAUUGGGACUGAGAUACGGCCCAGACUCCUACGGGAGGCAGCAGUGGGGAAUAUUGCACAAUGGGCGCAAGCCUGAUGCAGCAACGCCGCGUGCGGGAUGACGGCCUUCGGGUUGUAAACCGCUUUCAGCAGGGACGAAGCUUUUUGUGACGGUACCUGCAGAAGAAGCACCGGCUAACUUCGUG